GAGAAGUGGAGAGUAAACACAAGCGAGAAGUGGGCGACCAAGUAUGUGAUUUCUGUUUAGGAUUGACCAGUGAAUGAGCCCUGUGUCCAGGGAGUUUGGUGGCCAGACCCACACAUCCAGGCUUGCUCAGACCACUCUCACAGGAAGGCAACUGCAUAUUUGUGGCAGGCUUUAGUUGGGAAAACUUCAGUCAAGCCUGGCUAUGAAAUAGAGUCACGGACAGAUCCCGCUGAGAGCAACCGCUCGCGCUGCCGUACCUGGGGAUUGCAUCUGCUCGGGAGGACCACCAGGUCAUUGGAUUGAACGUAAACGCCAGAAAUAGUUGCAGUUCCCAGUUUACCUGCCCUCUGGCCCUUUAAAUUGAGGUGGGAAAGGAAGAGAAGGUGUUUCUGCUGGGGUGGCUGUUUGCCACCUGGUUCCUGUAGGCUUGCAUCCCUUCUAACUGGUAAGUUUGGGGGGUUUCUGGUAUUUUUCAUGAUUGCUC
rnacentral:lncRNA from 1 species